rnacentral:misc_RNA from 1 species
AACUUUUGGCAAUGGAUCACUUGGCUCUCGCAUCGAUGAAGACCGCAGCGAAAUGCGAUAAGUAAUGUGAAUUGCAGAAUUCAGUGAAUCAUAGAAUCUUUGAACGCAUCUUGCGCUCCUUGGUAUUCCGAGGAGCAUGCCUGUUUGAGGGUCAUUGAACUUAUCAACCACUUACUUCAUUGAUUUGUGGCUUGGACGUGGGGUGUGCGGGCCUUUCUCGAGGUCGGCUCCCCUGAAAUGCAUUAGCGGUAUCUUGAGCUUACCACUAUGUAGGUGUGAUAAAAAUCUCUAUGCCUGUCUGGUAUGCUGUGGUUGUGCUGCUCGUAACACGAACUCUGAUGAAUUUGACCUCAAAUCAGGCAGGACUACCCGCUGAACUUAAGCAUAUCAAUAAGCGGAGGCU